AUGUAAGUUGAAACACAAAAAAUGAUCAAACGGUAUUCCAGAGUUGAUAAUAAAAAUGCGUCAGUCCGCAAUCUAUUAUUGCUCGAGAAUACCCUUUGACUACUAUGUGUACGUUUUUAUUAGAAU
rnacentral:pre_miRNA from 15 species